rnacentral:tRNA from 1 species
GGGUAUAUAGCUCAGUGGUAGAGUACUUGCUUGGCAUGCACAAGGUCCUGGGUUCAAUUCCCAGGACCUCUA